UACGUGAAACCGUUCAGGGGUAAACCUGAGAAACCCGAAAGGUCGAACGGGGAGAUUCACCGCGGUUCGUCGGCGAAGCUUGAUGCGCGAGWGACUGACGGCCCUGCGUCGUUAGCGCCGCGCGUCUCUGAUAGUAGUUGCCGAACGCGUGCACUUCUCCCCUAGUAGGACGUCGCGAUCCGUUGGGUGCCGGUCUAAGGCCUGCGGAGGAGCCCGAGCGGAGCGGUUCGCCGUUCGCCGUUCGGACCCGCGGUGUUCCCGGCCGGCUCGCCCGACGGUAUACUGAUGGCGCUGGGCCGCGACUUUAGCUCGCGUCUGGCCCGCGGCAAGCACGCCGUGUGCGUCGGCGGUCGGACCUAGUGCCGACUCCGGCCCGCGGUGGCUGUUCGCUGCGGUGCUCUCGGACAGACCCAGUCGAAACGCCGAUCUGCGACGCCGUAGCUUUGGGUACUUUCAGGACCCGUCUUGAAACACGGACCAAGGAGUCUAGCAUGUGCGCGAGUCAUUGGGAACUCACUAAACCUAAAGGCGUAAUGAAAAGUGAAGGCCCGCCUUGCGCGGGCCGAGGGAAGAUGGGCGUCGGCCGUAAGUCCACGCUCCGCAUUCCCGGGGCGUCUCGUCCUCAUCGCGAGGAGAGGCGCACCAAGAGCGUACACGCUGGGACCCGAAAGAUGGUGAACUAUGCCUGGUCAGGACGAUAGUCAGGGGAAACCCUGAUGGAGGUCCGUAGCGAUUCUGACGUGCAAAUCGAUCGUCGGAACUGGGGUAUAGGGGCGAAAGACUAAUCGAACCAUC
rnacentral:rRNA from 1 species